GCUGAGCGGGGAGGGAGGAAGGGCUGAGGUGUCCCCCCUGCCUGGUGGACUCGGAGGCGGCGGCGGCGCUGGCGGCGACGGUGGAGACGGCUGCCCUAGUGGGAGAGGCGGCGGCGGCCGAGGAGGAGGAGGGAGAAGCGGCGGCGAAGGGCUCCAGACCCAGUUCCUGGACCUGCCCUGGAAAAGAAGUAUCCGGUAGAGAUGAGCUCACUGCAGUUACUUAAUUAAAAAUUUGUAAGCUGCAAAAAUGGCAGUGGGCCAGCCAAGAACAGCUACAAUUUGAAUUUUUCUAUUUCCAGAAAAUGCUUGGACAGAAGAGAUGAGUACUAAUUUCACUAAGGCCUAAAAUUGCCUGCUGUACAGAUAGUCCUGAUUAGGCAAUAUACGAAUGGCCCAAGGAAGCCACCAAAUUGAUUUUCAGGUUUUACGUGACCUGCGACAGAAAUUCCCUGAAGUACCUGAAGUUGUUGUAUCCAGGUGCAUGUUACAGAAUAAUAAUAACCUGGAUGCCUGCUGUGCUGUUCUCUCUCAAGAGAGUACAAGAUAUCUUUAUGGUGAAGGAGACUUGAAUUUUUCGGAUGAUUCUGAAAUUUCUGGUCUACGCAAUCACAUGACUUCUCUCAAUUUAGACUUGCAGUCAGAGAAUGUUUAUCACCAUGGAAGAGAAGGAAAUAGAAUGAAUGGAAGUAGAACUCUAAUGCACAGCAUUAGUGAUGGACAACUUCAAGGUGGUCAGUCCAAUAAUGAACUGUUUCAGCAGGAGCCACAAACAGCACCAGCUCAAGUUCCUCAAGGCUUUAAUGUUUUUGGACUGUCCAGUACAUCUGGUGCUUCAAAUUCAACACCACAUCUUGGAUUUCACUUAGGCAGCAAAGGAACAUCAAACCUUUCUCAGCAAACUCCCAGAUUUAAUCCCAUUAUGGUAACCUUAGCCCCAAAUAUUCAGACUGGUCGUAAUACUCCUACAUCUUUGCACAUACAUGGUGUACCUCCGCCUGUACUUAACAGUCCACAGGGAAAUUCUAUCUACAUUAGGCCUUACAUUACAACUCCUAGUGGUACAACUCGACAGACACAGCAGCAUUCUGGCUGGGUAUCUCAGUUUAAUCCAAUGAACUCUCAAGUUUAUCAGCCUUCACAACCUGGUCCCUGGACUACUUAUCCUGCAUCUAAUCCUCUGUCACAUACCUCAACCCAACAGUCAAGUCAGCAAGGCCACCAGACCUCUCACGUCUACAUGCCCAUCAGUUCACCUACUACUCCACAACCGCCGACAAUUCAUUCAUCUGGUAGUUCACAGUCUUCUGCUCAUAGCCAGUAUAACAUUCAGAAUAUUUCAACAGGACCUCGAAAAAAUCAGAUUGAAAUCAAACUUGAACCCCCACAAAGGAACAGUUCUUCAAAAUUGCGUUCUUCUGGACCUCGAACCUCCAGCACUUCCACUUCAGUCAACAGCCAGACCUUAAGUAGAAAUCAGCCCACUGUUUACAUAGCUGCCAGUCCCCCAAACACUGAUGAGAUGAUCUCCCGUAGUCAACCUAAGGUUUAUAUUUCAGCUAAUGCCACCACAGGAGAUGAACCAGGCAUGCGGAAUCAGCCCACAGUCUUCAUAUCCACAAACUCUGGAGCAUCUGCUGCCUCCAGGAAUAUGUCUGGGCAAGUGAGCAUGGGUCCUACCUUUAUUCAUCACCACCCUCCCAAAAGUCGAACAAUAGGCAGUAACUCUGUAACUUCUCCUCGAGUGGUGGUCACUCAACCCAAUACAAAAUAUACUUUCAAAAUUACAGUUUCUCCCAAUAAACCCCCUGCUGUUUCACCAGGAGUUGUUUCCCCUACCUUUGAACUUACAAAUCUUCUGAAUCAUCCUGAUCAUUAUGUAGAAACAGAAAAUAUUCAGCACCUCACAGACCCUACGUUAGCACAUGUGGAUAGAAUAAGUGAAGCACGGAAAUUGAGCAUGGGAUCUGAUGAUGCUGCCUACACACAAGCUCUGUUGGUACACCAGAAGGCCAGAAUGGAACGACUUCAAAGAGAACUUGAGAUUCAAAAGAAAAAGCUGGAUAAACUAAAAUCUGAGGUCAAUGAAAUGGAAAAUAAUCUAACUCGAAGGCGCCUAAAAAGAUCAAAUUCCAUAUCCCAAAUACCUUCACUUGAAGAAAUGCAGCAGUUGAGAAGUUGUAAUAGACAACUCCAGAUUGACAUUGACUGCUUAACCAAAGAAAUUGAUCUUUUUCAAGCCCGAGGACCACAUUUUAAUCCCAGCGCUAUUCAUAACUUUUAUGACAAUAUUGGAUUUGUAGGUCCUGUGCCACCAAAACCCAAAGUAAAAAAAAAAAGGACGGGACAUGCAGUUGAGUAUGAAGGCCCUGAGUUCAAUCCUCAGUACCACAGAAAGAAAAAUCAAAUCAUCCUAUAACAAAAGAAGAGGAAAAGAAGAGCAAGAAAACUGCCAAGUAUACUGAAGCAACAAAAUGGUAAGGUCCUAAAGAUACUUGCUUUAAAUAUAAAUGGAUUAAACUCAGCAGUCAAAAAGCAUAAAGUAUACUUUCUAAAUGAGACCCUUUUUGGAGGAGGGGUUUUUGUUUGUUUUGAGGCGAGGUAUCACUGUGCAGUUCAGGUUGACCUUGAACUCGCUAUGUAGCCAAGGCUGACCUCAACUUGCAGUGAUCAUCCUGCCUCAGCCUCCUGAAUGCUGGAUUACAGAUGUGCACCACAGCACUCAGUUUAAAUGAAACAUACAUAGGCUGAAAUUUGAAAGGAUAAAAAAGAUAUUUCAUGUAAAUGAUAACUAAAAUCAUGAAUGGCUAUAGUUUUAUAGGACUAUAGAUUUUUAACUCUAAGCAUAUGUAUGAUAAAAAGAUCAAUAGGAGGAUACAGGCAUACACAGAAGGGUCUACCUGACAGCAGAAAAAUGCAUAUUCUCAAGUAUAUAUAGAAUAUUCUCUAGGACAUAUCUUAUGUUCACAGAACAAUUCAUAGCAUAAUUUAAGAUGAUCUAGAUCAUUCCAGAUAUCUUUCUUGACUGUAGUGGAAUGAACUAGAAAUCAGUAUAACAAGAAAACCAUAAAAAUGAAUGGAAACUAACAACACACUUCUGAAUAUCCAUUGGAUAUUUGAGUAAAUCACAAGGAAAUCUAAAGUAUCUUUUGAAAAACAAAAACAGCAUACUAAAAUCUAUGGAAUGCAACAAAUGCAGUACAAACAGUAUGUUUACAGAGAUCAAUGCCUGUAUUAAGGAAGAAGAAAUAUCUCAAAUAACCUAACUUUACACUUUAAAGAAUUACAGCCAUUAAACUAAGCCCAAAGUUAAUAGAAGAAAGAACAUAACAAAGAAUGGAGCAAAAGUAGAUUAGAUAGAACUGGGCAUAGUGGCUCACACCUGUAAUUAUAGAGCUAAGGAAACUGGGGCAGAAGAAUUGUUGUGAGUUCAAAACCAGGCAGGGCUACAUAGUGAGUUGAAGGUCAACCUGAACUACCUAGUGAGACUCUGUCUCAAGAAAAGAGAAAGUAAAUCAGAUAAUUUUAAACAGUAGGAAAGUCAACAAAGCAAUUGUUUUUGUUUUUAAGAUAAAAUAGACAAACCAUUAGCUAGACAAUUAAUAAAAAACAAGAUCCAGCCAGACAUGGUAUCACACACCUGUAAUCUCAGCACUUGGGAGGCUAAGGCAGGUGGAUUACUUACAAAGUGAUCUCAAGGUCAGCCUGAACUGCACAGUGAGACCCUGUCUCAAAAAGACAAAAAUUUUUUUUUAAUUUUAAAAAACAAGAUUCACAGAAAAUCAUAACUAAAAUAGAAGACAUGACACUAGAUGCCUCAAUAAUAGAGAUCAAAAGAAACUAAUAGGAACAGUUAUUGUCCCAAAAAGUGAAUAACCUAGAAGAAAUAGAUAAAUUCUUAGAAAUGUAACAACCUAUCAGGACUCAAUCAAGAAGAAAUAGCUCAGAUGUACCAGUAAUAAAUAAGGAAAUUGAAUCAGUGAUCAAAAGUGUCCCGAUAAAGACAAACCUAGGACCAGAUGGUUUCAUGAAUGAAUUCUGCCAAAUAUUCCAGAAAUAAUUAAUUGUUUAUUACUUUCCAAAAAAAAAAAGAAGAAUCAUUCUAUAAGGCCAGCAUUACCUUGCAAGCAAAACCAGACAAAGUACAAGUAAGAAAAGUAUAGGCCAAUAAGCAUAGAUAGUACUUCAUUAAAAUACUAACAAAUUGAAUUCAGCAACACACUAUAAAAGAUCAUACACCAUGACCAAAUGAAAUGUCUUCUAAGAAAGCAAGAAUGGUUCAAUAUAUGUGGAUUGAUCAGUAUGGUAAAACAGGGGAAAAAAUACUAUUAUCUCAGUAGGUGCAUUAAAAACAUUUUGACAAUGUUUUGAGAGUUAAAACUCAACAAAAUAGGAAUAAAUGGAACUAAUAUCAAAAUAAUGAAGGUCAUAUAUCAAACCCACACAGACAAUGUCAUAAUAAAUGGCAGGGAACUUAAAACUCUCCCUAUAAAAUCUGGUACAAGGCAAGAAUGGCUGCCACUGAGUAUAGAGUGGUGCAUGCCCAGUCUUUUUUGAAAUUAUUAUUUUGAGUCAGAUUCUCACUAAGUUCCUUGGGCUGUUUGAACGUAUGUUUCCCCUGCCUCAGCCUCCUGAGUAGUCACCAUUUCUUUUCAGUGUGGUACACAGACCAACCGUGCAGUCUUUGGUAAAGGGAAAAAUCAUAGUGUUUGUAGGGUUCAGUACUAUCCUUUCUCACUGCUGAAACAAAAUACUUGACACUCAGAAUUAAAGGGGGAAAGGUUUAUUAAGCUCAGAGUUUGUAGACAUUUCAAUCCAUAAAUUGUCUCACUCCAAGGCAGGGUAGCAUAUAGCAGAAGGACAACAGUUCAUAGUGGCAGAAGAUAGCAAAAGCAACCAGAGAGUGAGGGGAGGCAAGCCUCUUCUGUCCCUUACAACAUAUCCAGUCUACCAGGAUAAGGGUGGUGCCCAUCCAGUCAGUGAACUGAGCCACCAGUCACCCACCCUUGAUCCCAGUACCCUUUAUUUCCAGCGUUGCACAACCAGUCACACACUCAGGAUUCUGCCACAUCCAAAAAAGUGCUGUGACUGCAUGAGACUUUAGUGGGACAUCUAACACAAACCAUAACAAGUACAGUCUAUAGAGUUUCACUAGGGGGAUCUUAACACGAUUUCCUUAUCCCAGAAGAAGACUGCAGUAUAUAUAGAAAAUCCUAAGACUUAAAAGAAAAGAACUUUAUUAAAAGAAUUUAGUAAAGUUGUAGGAUACAAAAUCAAUAUACAAAACCAGUUGUUUCUUUAUGUAAUGAGCCAAACAAAGAAAUCAAGACCAAGAAAAAUGUUCCACUUACAGUAGCAACAAAAAGAAUAAAAUACUUAGGAAUAAACCUAACCAAAGAGGUAGAAGACUUGUACACCAAAAUUACAAAGAUUGAUGAAAGAAAUUAAAGAUUAAUGAAAUACUUCUGUGUUCAUGGACUGGAGAAAUCAUUAUUAUUCAAACGACCUUAUUACUCGUGUUCUACAGAGCCUAUGCAAUCAUGUUCAAAAUCUCAGUGGCAUUCUCUAUAGAAACAGAAAAAAAAAUCCAGAAAUUCAAAUGAAGCCACAAAAGACCCCAAAUAACCAAAGCAAUCUUGAAUAAGAACAAAACUGGAGACAUCACACUCGCUUGUUUCAGAAGCCACAGUAAUUAAAACAAUAUGCUACCAGCAUAAAAGUAGAUAUGGAAUAAAGAGCCCGAAGUAAAUGCAUGCAUCUAUUGGCAACUUACCAUUGGCCAAGUUGCCAACACCACAAUGGAGAAGUGACCGUUUCUUUAAUAGAUGACAUUGGAAAAAUCAAGUAUCUACAUGGAUACAAGUGAAUGAGAAUCCUUAUACACAGUGCACAAAGAUCAUCUUAAAAAGGAUUAAAGAUUUAAACAAAAUGUGGAAACAAAAACUAGAAGGAAACGUCAGAUAAAACUUCCUUGAAAUUGUUCUGGACAAUGAUUUUUUGGAUAUGGCAACGAGCAAAAAUAGACAAAUGGGAUUGCAUUGAACUAAAAAGCUUCUACACAACAAAGAAAACAUUCAAAAAGGCUACUUACUGUUCUUUCUCUUCUAUUAGAUGUGAUUUUAAACAGUAAAACAAAUACAUCUGAUAAAUUUUUACACUGAUUUACCUCUUCAUGGUCUAUUGUUACUAUGUAGUUAAACUUUAGAAAUCAGUUUUGUUUUUUGUUUUUUUUAUGAUUUAUGUUUUUAGCAAAGAACACUUAAUGGAAAUUUCAUUCCUAGCUUAAAAAACAAAUAUAAACACUGUUUUGGUGGGCAGUGAAAACUGUUAAGACUCAAAUACACUUACAGUAUUGUUUUUCACUUUGCACAGUCUUAAAUGACAUAGAAAUGUUCACAAUUUGCUCCCUUCUCUUGUGCUGUAAGACAGAGAUGCUUAAGACAGUCAUAUGUUGUUUCCUCCCUUAAGGAGGUGUGAAAGUGAUUCAUGCCUUGCUGCCCUUCCCAGAAAACAAGCUGGAUGGAGGCUGGUGAUGGUCAAGCGUGUGUGGCAGUUUCAGCUAGUGUCUUCCUUUGGUUUACAGGAUCAAAGAUCCACCAUCAAAACACCAAAGACUCAAGACACAGAAGAUGAUGAGGGGGCUCAGUGGAAUUGCACUGCCUGUACUUUUUUGAACCAUCCAGCCUUAAUCCGCUGUGAACAAUGUGAGAUGCCACGGCAUUUCUGAGCCAGAAACCCCUAUGUCUUCACUAAAACCACAUCUAAAGUUCAAGAAAUCAAUCUGUCAUCGGGGAAAAGUUUCACUGCUACAUAGGAUUUUGUCAGUUUGAAGGUGUGACAAGAUGGUGUUGUGCUAAUGUUAAAUGUCAGCCCACAGAGCUAAUAAUACCUCAGUCUAAUGUCAUGGGCAGUGGAAAUUCAUCACAUGAAAGGUAAUCUGCUGAAAGACUUGGUUGCCUGCUGCCUAACCAUGUACAGUGUUACCAUUAUCCCGUUACGGAUAAUUCUCACUAUGUUAUUGCCUAGGUGUUCCCAGUAAUUUUCCCCCUCCUGUCACUACUGAAUUUUGACAGGAGGAAGGAAUAGAACAGUAGCUUUUUUUUUUAAAAGCUUUCAGUGAAACACUACAUACAUGAAGAGAAGGAACAAGGUAUAACUAUUUAAAAACUGUUUGCCUCUAACAGAUGCCAAUGGAUAGGGGAAGAACUUCACAAAUCUGUGGUACUCUUGGCCUUGUCUUUGUCUUCCCUGAAAAUGUCUCUGUGAAGCCAGCAUCUAGGACCUGAAGAUAAAAAGAGAGCAGCAUGCAUUGUUUGUACAAACAAUACAGUGAAAUACCCCAAAGCUUUUCCUACUGUACAGAUCUCUCAAGUCUGCUUUAAGUGAUUUCUUUAUUAUUCUUAUAUUUCUGUAUGUAUAGUGUAAUAGCCUUUUGUUAACUAAUUUUCUUUUUUCCUUUUAGUGAUUAAGCACGAUCAUGUCCCUUUUUAAGCCUUACUGAAAGAAACAAUGCCAUAAAAAUAAAAAAGCAUUAAUGAAAUGAAACUAUGCACAAAAUAACUUUCCUCUACUUAUUCUGUACUUUGCCCUCAUGGGUGCCAAUGUUCUGUGAAGAUAUACAAAUGCUGCACAAUGAAUUGCAGAAAACAUAAGAAUUACGUGGAUAGAUCAUACUGUGUACUGACUGGAGCAGUGGGUAGCACAAAACAGUGUCUUGUCUUCCAUAAGGAAGCUUAAAAGAUAUUUUUAACCCACUGACAGCUUGCUUCAACUGCUUGGUGUCCCACAGAAUUUUCACAAGAGAUUAUUUUGGGGAAAGUACAGUUUCAAAACCAGCAACAUCAGCAGUACCGACAGCCUCCCCACCCCCACCCCUUUUAAGAAGUUUAAAUGCCUUACUGUUGGGACAAUCUGUUUCUAAACCUGACUUGGUGGCAGUAUCAUGUGUAUUUAUAAAACAAGGCUAGUCAUAUUUAGGACAACUGAAGAAAAGCUGGAAAAAAUAAAACAAGCAAACUUGAACACUGAAGCAACCUCAAGCAUCUCUUUAUGUUGAUGAUAUAUUUUUAUAAGGAAAAUAAAUAUUCAGAUGAUCAGGAAUGUAUAUACCUAAAUGAAAUCAAGAAAAAAUAACAGUAUGCAUUUAAAAAGAAUUAUGAAAUUAUAUAUCAGUGCUUAGAAUGGGGCUAAGGGAAGUGCUGAAAUAUAGCAAAAGUAGGAAAUAAUGUAGACUGUCCCACUGUAAAUGUAUGCAAGUGGCUGUGUUUUAAAGAAACAGGAUUAUUACAGGUGAUCUCUAUGAAUGUAAAAGCCUUGGCGUCCUCCGGGCUUUGCAUUAUGUAUAUGAAAAGAAAUACGACAAUCCUAGAUAAACAGACAUAAACCCAAAGCCCUUAUAUUUGAUACAUUUUGUUUUAAAAAUAGACCUUGUUUUUCAGCUUCAUCUGCAGUUCUAUGUGAAGAUUGAUAAAUCAGUUUUUACUUGUUUUAUUAAUAAAAUGUAAUUUGGAUAUCUUGAGUUGAUGGUUUUGUGAUUUAGCUGGGUAAACUAUCUUUGUAACAGAUAAGUUAUUUAUAAAAAUUAAAAAACUUAUAUUCUAAAGUGAA